UACGUAGGGCGCAAGCGUUGUCCGGAAUUAUUGGGCGUAAAGAGCUCGUAGGUGGUGUGUCGCGUCUGCCGUGAAAGCCCGGGGCUUAACUCCGGGUCUGCGGUGGAUACGGGCAGACUAGAGGACGGUAGAGGGGGUGGAAUUCCCGGUGUAGUGGUGAAAUGCGUAGAGAUCGGGAGGAACACCUGUGGCGAAGGCGGCCCCCUGGGCCGGCCCUGACACUGAGACGCGAAGGCGUGGGGAGCGAACGGGG
rnacentral:rRNA from 1 species